AGUGAACGCUGGCGGUAGGCCUAACACAUGCAAGUCGAACGGCAGCACAGUAAGAGCUUGCUCUUACGGGUGGCGAGUGGCGGACGUGUGAGGAAUACAUCGGAAUCUACUUUUUCGUGGGGGAUAACGUAGGGAAACUUACGCUAAUACCGCAUACGACCUACGGGUGAAAGCAGGGGAUCUUCGGACCUUGCGCGAUUGUAUGAGCCGAUGUCGGAUUAGCUAGUUGGCGGGGUAAAGGCCCACCAAGGCGACGAUCCGUAGCUGGUCUGAGAGGAUGAUCAGCCACACUGGAACUGAGAGACGGUCCAGACUCCUACGGGAGGCAGCAGUGGGGAAUAUUGGACAGUGGGCGCAAGCCUGAUCCAGCCAUACCGCGUGGGUGAAGAAGGCCUGCGGGUUGUAAAGCCCUUUUGUUGGGAAAGAAAAGCAGCAGGUUAAUACCCCGCUGUUCGGACGGUACCCAAAGAAUAAGCACCGGCUAACUUCGU
rnacentral:rRNA from 1 species